GCUCGGCAGGUCUGAACCCGCGUGGGUGUAGGCGCUGGGGGUCGACCUGGCACUGCGGAGGCCGGGCGAGCUGCAGCCCUGGGGGCGCCAAUAGCCCAGCAAGGGCCCAUCCCGUCCAAGGACGGAGGAGCUGGGCGGGAGGCGGGCCCGGAGGUAAGACGGCGACCAGCCUAGCCAGAGGCCCUGGGCUGUGGCGACCCGGCCCUCCUCCAUGCCCAACCCCCAUCUCUUUCUCCUCACCCAGGAACCGCCCAGAGGCUGCAGGGGUCGGCAGAACCGAUGCCGGCCUGGGGCGUGGGAGGGCCUAGCGCUGUGGGCAAAUGCGGGAGAAGGGCUACUGUACGUGCAGUGUGGACAGCCUGGAGACCCGGGCAGGCCUGGGGUCCCAGCGAGACAUACCCAUGGGGUCCUGGGGGGCCCAUGCCCUCCAGACUGGAAGGGACCACUGGGAGCGGUGCGAGGAGGUGAGGGACGAAGGGCAGGGCCGGCCUAGGGCUGCACCAAGACGCCAAGAGUGGGAGUGAGGAAGGAGGGGGCUGCCCACCCACCAAGCUCAUUCAUCACAGCCACAGGGGAGGACCAGCAUGGGAGGGGGUGGCCGACUGAGGCCGGGAACCUGCCCGGCCUCCCUGGCGAGACAGUGGGGAGCCCUGAUCCACACACUGGCGAGGGCCCCGAGGGGCUCCAGCCUUGAUGGGUAGUGUGAGUUUGGGGCAUGACCAGGGACACAAGAGGACACGCAGGACCUCAGCCCCAUCGCCACAGGCCCGCGCUCCCUGUAUUCACCCACACAGCACGCGUGCACAGGUGCCCACCUCAUCCAUGUGGCACACACAGGCUGUGGCUCCCAGACACACGGAAGGCCCAGGAGGACGCAGUGCAGUCAGUGGGUUUUAUUUGACGAGGGGGUUUUCUGCUGAACUGAGAUGGGGUUGAUUGAACGGGGACAGAGCGAAGACUGGCAGAGGGCACACACGGG
rnacentral:lncRNA from 1 species